UGUGGCGGUGGUGCACUGAGAGGAGGUGGGGGUAGAACAUCCUCCUCCGAGUCAAAUGAGUCAUCUGAGGG
rnacentral:sRNA from 11 species